rnacentral:tRNA from 1 species
GGAGAGGUGUCCGAGCGGCUUAAGGUGCAGACCUGGAACGUCUGUGUGGGGGUAAAACUUCACCGAGGGUUCAAAUCCCUCUCUCUCCG